rnacentral:rRNA from 1 species
CCUACGGGGUGCUGCAGUAGGGAAUAUUGCUCAAUGGGGGAAACCCUGAAGCAGCAACGCCGCGUGGAGGAUGAAGGUUUUCGGAUUGUAAACUUCUUUGACAGGGGAAGAGCAGAAGACGGUACCCUGAAAACAAGCCACGGCUAACUACGUGCCAGCAGCCGCGGUAAUACGUAGGUGGCAAGCGUUGUCCGGAUUUACUGGGUGUAAAGGGCGUGUAGCCGGGAAGGCAAGUCAGAUGUGAAAUCCAGAGGCUCAACCUCCGAAUUGCAUUUGAAACUGUUUUUCUUGAGUACUGGAGAGGCAGACGGAAUUCCUUGUGUAGCGGUGAAAUGCGUAGAUAUAAGGAGGAACACCAGUGGCGAAGGCGGUCUGCUGGACAGCAACUGACGGUGAGGCGCGAAAGCGUGGGGAGCAAACAGGAUUAGAUACCCGGGUAGUC